GAGGACAAGCAGAUAAUUUGAGGGCCAACGAUGGAACAGUAAGGUUUAUGUAUUUAUUCUUCCUGCUGGGUCACUGUGGAUCAUCUGUGUCCCUCUGUUGCAGACUACCUGUCAGGCAGCCCUCUCAGAAUUUGGGCAAUUGCUCCUUCCCUGCUCCUUCGGACAUAGGGUUAGCCACCCAGUAGAGCUACUGAGUUCCAUCCUGGUACUGGGGAAUGUCUAUAGAGACUCCUGUGAUGUGAUCCAUCUUCAGAUCUUGCAGCCAUGACUACUAGCACCUGCUCCAGGUCCCACGUGUUUCAAUGGACAUUUGUCUCCAUCAUAGCCACAUCACACCACAGAUUUGAUUUUUCAGUUCAUUUGGUCAAAUGCCACUCAAAACAAGAAAUGCUAAAGGAGAAGAAGAGUCCAGUUCAAGAUCUGCAUUUCAUUUCUGAUGUUGGCCCAACAACUUUUUCCUUCCAGUUUCUCGGAAGCCUGCCUCCAUAGUUCUCUUUUCCCCCAGUUCGCCCAAGAAUUUAAAGUGAGAAUUCAGAAUAUUCUUUCCCCUUUUCCCCUACUAAUGAUUCAACAGGUAGUAUGAAUUUUCCAUAUUCUGUUUAAUGCUAGGCAUCAGAUUUUCAGAGUUUCUAGCCUCAUUUCCUCUGAAACCAUUAUUUUUGCUGUGUAGUAUCUCUGUCUAAGGUUGUAUUUUAAAAGAUUCCCAAGUCCUUUGUACUAUGACAAGCAUGGAAUAUAACUUUACUAUUGACAAAGAACAAAGAGAGAUCAGAAAUAAAAACACUGGGAACUGUACACAAGCUCUGUAACCUCCUUUCUUGAGACAUUCUGAAACUUGCUAUAAAGCAAUUUAUAUGAAAGCAUUCUCAUGUACAAUAUUUCACACAAUCCCCAUAUUAAUACGAAGUGAAGUCAUCAAUCUCCACUUAAAUUUACAUGUUAAGAGACUAGCCUUUGACAUGUAAAGUAACUCACCCAAGGUCACGUAGCUAGUAAAUGGCAAAAUGGAGAUUUUUAACUAGGUUUAAUAAAUCCAAACCAUUCCCCCAAACUAUUUUGUUGUCCAAUAAGAGUUAGAGAAAUUGCGGUUUAAAAACAGGAAAUAGAUUAACAUCAAUGAGAAUAGGCACUAUAAACAGUAGCUAUGAUCUAUUGGGCCUUUCCAACACAUUACAACAGGCUGUGGGUAUCUGCAUGAAAUAUGCAUAGCAUUGCAAUGGGAAAGAGGAGCUAUGAGCCUUUCAGAAUAAGUGGGCCAAACGCAGUGUAGAAUGCUCCCUACAGUUGCCCUUUUGUGAAAUUCACACUCUAAUCACAUAUUCAAUGUUUGUCUUUGUGGAGAAUAUACUCUCUACAAAGGGAAACAACCUUAAUUCUCCUAAACAUAGACACCAGGAAGAAAAAUAAGGUUAAUUUCUUCAUUCUAGAUUCUAGCUGAUGCCAGCUCUAGAGCUUCCAGGUUGCCCAGGACUAUACCAGAAGCCUUUACUUCAUCCUAUGCAUAAUAUUGACAAAUAAGCUUAUGUUUUAAACACUGAUUCUCUGAAAAAUGUUUUAAAUCCAGCCAUGAAGUGUCCAUAAGCUAACAUAUACAUUACUUUUACAAGGUGCACUCUGGAAGGAAUCCUUUAAAAAGUUAAAAUUUAUUUACGUAAGCUAUGUAGUUGUGUGGCCACUAUGAAAGAAUACUUAGUCAGUAGAACACAGAAAGAAAAUGAAAUCAGGAGUUAUGCUACAUCAGAUGGAAGAAGCAAUGCAGUGUCUGGUAAGGAAAACAAACAAACAAAACAUGAGUUGUCCAGGACUAGCUCUACUAGAAGCAGUGUAACAUGUUGGAAAUAGCUCUUCAAUCAGAAAGUCUGGUCUCCUUAUAUACUAGCUAUGUAGCUUUAGACAAUCCAUUUAAGUCCCUGAAACUUCUCCCAUAUUUUAAUAAAAAUAUCUUUUGAGAUAACAUCCACAAGCACUUUUAAAACACAUAUAUGUAAUUAGUAAGGACUGGGGGACAGGAGUAUGCUGUAAAAUGCUCUGCAAAUAUAAUUUCAUGAAAACACAUAACUACACUGGUGAUAUUAAAUGGACUUUAAUCAGUGGUGAUAAAAGAUGGUCAAUUGUCUAUAUAAUGGAUAACAUGGUAGCCAUUUUUCAACUUCAAGUUUAAGCUUCAAUGAACCCUCAUUUCCUCAAGCCCAUAAUAUGGCCAGUAAUUAAAAUUAUAUUUCUG
rnacentral:lncRNA from 1 species